GCAAAUUUGUGAAAGAAUGGGUUCAAGGAGAGUAUUAGAGUAAACUUGCUUGCUGCUUGUUCCAACUUCCAAACAUUUUCUCUUAAAAAUUUUCCAGAAAAAAUUAUUGGGGAAGAGGUUGUUGAUAUAUGAUGAUUUGAUGGCACAGCAAGCCUGCUUGCUCAUUUUAAGGGUGGAACUGCAAGGGAGAGGAAAUAUUUGAUUUGAAAUUAGCUUCUCUUCAUUAUGUUGCUUGUAAAUGUAGGAAGAAGUUCCUUAUUCUGAUAGCCAAGAGACAUGGGUAAGUGUUUGGCCCAAAUCACAAGCGCUGAACAGAAUUUGCGUUUUUAAGGAAGUUUAGCUGGCUGUGGUUCAGCAGUCAUUGCUAAAACAAAUUGUGAGGCAGCUAUGUAAAUAAGAUGGUAACUUUUGGUUUGUGGCCCUGGGAAGUUGACAUCCUUUAAUAGUGUAAAGUCCCCUUCUUUCUCUCUACGCUUUAGUGGUGGGAGGGGACAACUAUGUAAACAUGACAUUUAAAUUUCUAUUCCUAAAAGAGCCAGAGCUGUAGCCCUUUUGCUCCUUUUUUCCCUGUGAAAUUCCAUUGUUUAAGUUGUUGACACCCUUUAGCAACUUGAAGCUCCUCCCCUUCCCUCUCUUGGGAAAAGAAAAAUCAAAUAGUUCAUGCUAUUCAUAUUCUUAAGAAAAUGAAGUGGAU
rnacentral:misc_RNA from 1 species